GACGAACGCUGGCGGCGUGCUUAACACAUGCAAGUCGAACGCGCCUGUCCUCUGGGUUUCUGGGGGGUGGGUGAGUGGCGAACGGGUGAGUAACACGUGAGUAACCUGCCCCCUUCUUCGGGAUAACGGUCUGAAAGGGCUGCUAAUACCGGGUAUUCACUGGUCUCCGCAUGGGGUCUGGUGGAAAGGUUUUUUUCUGGUGGGGGCUGGGCUCGCGGCCUAUCAGUUUGUUGGUGGGGUGAUGGCCCACCCAGGCUUUGACGGGUAGCCGGCCUGGGAGGGUGCCUGGGCACGUGGGGGGUGAGAUAGGGCCCAGAAUACUACGGGGGGCAGCAGGGGGGAAUAUUGCACAAUGGGCGCAAGCCUGGUGCAGCGACGGCGCGUGAGGGAUGGAGGGCGUCGGGUUGUGAACCGCUUUCGCCCGUGGUCAAGCCGGGACGGGGGUGGUGGUGAGGGUAGUGGGUAAAGAAGCGCCGGCUAACUACGUG
rnacentral:rRNA from 1 species